rnacentral:lncRNA from 1 species
CCAGCCUCGGGCUGGCUGUUGACAGAAGCGCGCAAGGUGCAUCUUUAUGCUCUACAUCAAACGCCUUUGACACAGACUUAAAAAAGUCUAUGUAAAGCAGCUAAUGGUGCUCGCUCUUCCGGCUGAGUAAGUCGGGGAACCAGAUUUUGCUGGAAGUAGAAGCCCUUUGCUCUGAGAACUGAUCUUUACUGCAUCAGAGUGAUGGAUGUCUUGGUGCAGCCCAGGUCUGGACAUUCAUAGCACAGUGUGAUCUCCAUGCUACUGGAGGAGCUGGUGAAGGUCCAUAACUCCAGAAAAGCAGAAAGAAAAAGUCCCUCCACAGUUUCCAGGAUCAGCCCCUCCCGGACUGCAUCUUACGGUGCCUCUUGGCUGUACUGCACGUUCCCCACCAUAAAUACAUCCCCAGCACAUCAGGAGCAGAGCAGGGGGCUGCAAUAUUGGUGAAAGGGACAUUACAGGAGAAAAGUUGAAAACCUCAGGCCUGAUCCUGACCCCUUUGAGCUGAACAGGAGCUGUUGCGUGGGCUUCAGUGGGAGCAAGCUCGUGUGCUCUACGUGCAGAAGCAUUAAACUUAAAAGCAAGCUGUUUAAAAGGCUGCAUUGUUUCUUGCUUGUACUGAUAGUUUCUCAUGUAAAGUUCUAUAUAUUCUUUCACAAUAAAUACAUGAAACAGUUAAUCCA